rnacentral:lncRNA from 1 species
AUGUAUAAUUUAUUACUCAUGGUGUUCAAGAACACUGAGAGAUCAUUCUCAUAUCUUCCAGAUGAAAAGCAUGAGCUACCUUGGAUACCAUUACUGAGGAUGAACUAAGUGUGUUGAAUUACCAGUCUGGCUCCUCUCCUUUUUCCCGGUGGAAUUGGCUCCAGCCAUUGAACAGUUAUCUUACAGGCUAUUGAUUCAUCCAAGGUCAUAUAAUCUAAUGAACAUCAGAGACAGAAUGAGAAUUAUUGCCAAAGACGACUCCUGCAAAGGAAGAUACGUGAGUUUUGAUGAACACACACUUGUUCCCUUUCUUGCCUUGUUGCAGUGGGUGGACCCUCCAGCACUAGGUUCAACAAGAGUGGUGAGAGCUGUCAUCUUUAUCUUUUUCCCAAGCUCAGGAGGGCUUCCCUAGUAAAGAUAAGGUUAACUUAAGGUUUUUAUAGGUGCUUUUGGUCAACUUGAGGAAGUUUACCUUUAUUCUUAUUUUGCUGAGAGGUUUUUUUUUUUUUUUUAAUCAUGAAUGAGUAUUGAAUUUUGCCAAAUGCUUUUCCUGCAUUAAGGUGAUUAUGUGCUAUUUCUUCUUUAGCUAUUAAUAUUGUAGAUUACCGUGAUUCAUUUUUUUUAAUAUACCAAAUCAGUCUUCUGUCCCUGGA